UACGUAGGCAGCAAGCGUUGUUCGGAGUUACUGGGCGUAAAGGGUGUGUAGGCGGUUGCUUAAGUUUGGUGUGAAAUCUCCCGGCUCAACCGGGAGGGUGCGCCGAAUACUGAGUGACUAGAGUGCGGGAGAGGAAAGUGGAAUUCCUGGUGUAGCGGUGAAAUGCGUAGAUAUCAGGAGGAACACCGGUGGUGUAGACGGCUUUCUGGACCGUAACUGACGCUGAGACACGAAAAGCGUGGGUAGCAAACAGG
rnacentral:rRNA from 1 species